CCUUUGGAAAAUUUCCUUUUGGAAAAAGAAUAAAUAUUUCUUGAUCAAGAGGAAUGAUGCAAGCUAAGCAGGGUCAGGCCUGGUUAGUACUUGGAUGGGAGACCACCUAGGAAGACCAGGUGCUAUAGGUA
rnacentral:rRNA from 1 species